GCCCAAAAAGUGGAACCAAGGUGGCAGAAUUGAAGAGCUAUUGGACACCAGUUCUAGUCCCUUCAAUUUCUGGCAAUUGCUAGAUAGUAUACUUCAAAAUAAGAUUUCCGUUUUUAUACAAUUUUUAAAAUAAGUUAGGGUUAGGUUAGGGUUUAGGUUAGGGUUAGGGUAAGGUUAGGGUGAGGGAUAGUAUUAGGGUUAGGGUUUAGUUUUGAGUUAGGAUAUUACUUAAAGGAUACUACUUACUUUGAAGUAUACUAUCUAGCGAUCACCCUUCAUUUCUGUUGUUUUUGUC